rnacentral:rRNA from 1 species
CACGUAGGCGGAUUGUUUAGUCGGGGGUGAAAUCCCGGGGCUCAACCCCGGAACUGCCUCCGAUACUGGCAAUCUGGAGUCCGGAAGAGGUGGGUGGAAUUCCUAGUGUAGAGGUGAAAUUCUUAGAUAUUAGGAAGAACACCGGUGGCGAAGGCGGCCCACUGGUCCGGUACUGACGCUGAGGUGCGAAAGCGUGGGGAGCAAACA